UAGGGAAUCUUCGGCAAUGGACGAAAGUCUGACCGAGCAACGCCGCGUGAGUGAAGAAGGUUUUCGGAUCGUAAAACUCUGUUGGUAGAGAAGAACAAGGGUGAGAGUAACUGUUCACCCCUUGACGGUAUCUAACCAGAAAGCCACGGCUAACUACGUGCUAG
rnacentral:rRNA from 1 species